AGCGAACGCUGGCGGCGUACUUAACACAUGCAAGUCGAGCGAACAUUUGAGAGCUUGCUCUCAAAUGUUAGCGGCGGACGGGUGAGUAACACGUGGGCAACCUGCCUAUAAGACUGGGAUAACUUCGGGAAACCGGAGCUAAUACCGGAUAAUUCUUUUCCUCUCAUGAGGAAAAGCUGAAAGACGGUUUACGCUGUCACUUAUAGAUGGGCCCGCGGCGCAUUAGCUAGUUGGUGAGGUAACGGCUCACCAAGGCAACGAUGCGUAGCCGACCUGAGAGGGUGAUCGGCCACACUGGGACUGAGACACGGCCCAGACUCCUACGGGAGGCUG
rnacentral:rRNA from 1 species